GAUGAACGCUAGCGGCAGGCUUAACACAUGCAAGUCGAGGGGUAUAGUAGCAAUACUAGAGACCGGCGCACGGGUGCGUAACGCGUAUGUAAUCUACCUUUUGCAGAGGGAUAGCCCAGAGAAAUUUGGAUUAAUACCUCAUAGUAUUAUGGUAUGGCAUCAUAUUAUAAUUAAAGUCACAACGGCAAAAGAUGAGCAUGCGUCCCAUUAGCUAGUUGGUAAGGUAACGGCUUACCAAGGCGACGAUGGGUAGGGGUCCUGAGAGGGAGAUCCCCCACACUGGUACGGAGACACGGACCAGACUCCUACGGGAGGCAGCAGUGAGGAAUAUUGGACAAUGGGCGCAAGCCUGAUCCAGCCAUGCCGCGUGCAGGAUGACGGUCCUAUGGAUUGUAAACUGCUUUUGCACUGGAAGAAACAACGCUACGUGUAGCGUCUUGACGGUACCAAAUGAAUAAGCACCGGCUAACUCCGUGCCAGCCGCCGCCGUAAAAC
rnacentral:rRNA from 1 species